GAUCAUUAAAGAGUAGUUUUUUACAACAACUCCAAACCCAUGUGAACUUACCUAUGUUGCCUCGGCGGGGAGACCUACCCGGUAGUUACCCUGUAGUUACCCUGUAGAGCUACCCGUCGACGGACCAUCAAACUCUGUUUUUCUAUGAAACUUCUGAGUGUUUUAACUUAAUAAAUUAAAACUUUCAACAACGGAUCUCUUGGUUCUGGCAUCGAUGAAGAACGCAGCGAAAUGCGAUAAGUAAUGUGAAUUGCAGAAUUCAGUGAAUCAUCGAAUCUUUGAACGCACAUUGCGCCCAUUAGUAUUCUAGUGGGCAUGCCUGUUCGAGCGUCAUUUCGACCAUCAAGCCCUAUUUGCUUGGCGUUGGGAGCUUACCCUGCAGCUGCGGGAUAACUCCUCAAAUAUAUUGGCAGAGUCGCGAAGACCCUAAGCGUAGUAAUUCUUCUCGCUUCAGCAGUGUUGACGCUGGCAUCUAGCCACUAAACCCCUAAUUU
rnacentral:rRNA from 1 species